GAGUUUGAUCCUGGCUCAGGACGAACGCUGGCGGCGUGCCUAAUACAUGCAAGUCGAGCGAAUCAAUGGGAGCUUGCUCCCUGAGAUUAGCGGCGGACGGGUGAGUAACACGUGGGUAACCUGCCUGUAAGACUGGGAUAACUUCGGGAAACCCGGAGCUAAUACCGGAUACGUUCUUUUCUCGCAUGAGGAGAGAUGGAAAGAUGGUUCUGCUAUCACUUACAGAUGGACCCGCGGCGCAUUAGCUAGUUGGUGGGGUAACGGCCCACCAAGGCGACGAUCCGUAGCUGGUCUGAGAGGAUGAUCAGCCACACUGGGACUGAGAUACGGCCCAGACUCCUACGGGAGGCAGCAGUAGGGAAUAUUGGACAAUGGGCGAAAGCCUGAUCCAGCAAUGCCGCGUGAGUGAAGAAGGCCUUAGGGUUGUAAAGCUCUUUCGGC
rnacentral:rRNA from 1 species